rnacentral:tRNA from 1 species
GGUAAUGGCUCAGUGGCAGAAUGUGUGCUUAGCAUGCACGAGGUCCUGGGUUCAAUCCCCAGUACCU